CGCGGUUAUACAAAUUAUAUGAAUGAAUUAUAUUAUUUUAUAGUUAAAUGUAAAUUUAAAUAAAAAAUUAUUUUAAAAAGUGAAAUUUGUAAAAAUAAUUUAAAUUUAUUAAUUUUUUUUUUGAAGCUAUUAAAUUUUAUUUAUAAACUAGGAUUAGAUACCCUAUUAUUUAAAACUUAAAUUAAUAAAAAAUUAGGUAGUAAUAGAUAUGUUCUUGAAACUUAAAAAAUUUGGCGGUAUUUUAAUCUAAUUAGAGGAAUCUGUUCCAUAAUCGAUAAUCCACGAUAAAUUUUACAUAAUUUUAUUUAAUUUGUAUAUCGUCGUUAUAAGAAGAUUUUAUAAGAAUAAAAAUUUUCUAAAAUUUAAUUUAGAAUUUAUUUCAGAUCAAGGUGCAAUUUAUAAUUAUGAGGAAAUGGGUUACAAUAAAUUUAUUUAAAUUGGAUAAUAAAAUGAAUUUUUUAUUUGAAAUUGGAUUUAAUAGUAAUUUAAAUUAUAUAAUUUUUUUGAUAUUAGCUCUAAAAUAUGUACAUAUCGCCCGUCACUCUCUUUAUUUAAAAAGAGAUAAGUCGUAACAAAGUAGAUGUACUGGAAAGUGUAUCUAGAAUGAA
rnacentral:rRNA from 1 species